rnacentral:rRNA from 1 species
CCUACGGGUGGCAGCAGUGGGGAAUAUUGCGCAAUGGGCGAAAGCCUGACGCAGCGACGCCGCGUGAGGGAUGAAGGUCUUCGGAUCGUAAACCUCUGUCAGCAGGGAAGUACGGUCACUGUGCUAAUCAGCAUUGAAUUGACGGUAUCUGCAAAGGAAGCACCGGCUAACUCCGUGCCAGCAGCCGCGGUAAUACGGAGGGUGCGUGCGUUAAUCGGAAUUACUGGGCGGAAAGCGCUCGUAGGCGGUAUGUCAAGUCAAGGGUGAAAUCCCCGCGCUCAACGUGGGAACUGCAUUUGAAACUGGCAAACUUGAGUGUAUGAGAGGAGAGUGGAAUUCGAGGUGUAGGAGUGAAAUCCGUAGAUAUCUGGAGGAACAUCAGUGGCGAAGGCGACUAUCUGGCACAUGACUGACGCUGAGGAGCGAAAGCGUGGGUAGCAAACAGGAUUAGAUACCCUAGUAGUC